UAACCAACAGGUCUAAUAACCAACAGGUCAACAGGUCUAAUAACCAACAGGUCAACAGGUCAACAGGUCUAAUAUAACCAACAGGUCAACAGGUCAACAGGUCUAAUAUAACCAACAGGUCUAAUAACCAACAGGUCAACAAGUCUAAUAACCAACAGGUCAACAAGUCUAAUAACCAACAGGUCAACAGGUCUAAUAACCAACAGGUCAACAGGUAUAAUAACCAACAGGUCUAAUAACCAACAGGUCAACAAGUCUAAUAACCAACAGGUCAACAGGUCGAAUAACCAACAGGUCAACAGGUCUAAUAACCAACAGGUCAACAGGUCUAAUAACCAACAGGUCGAAUAACCAACAGGUCGAAUAACCAACAGGUCUAAUAACCAUCAGGUCCACAGAUCUAAUAACCAACAGGUCAACAGGUCUAAUAACCAACAGGUCAACAGGUCUAAUAACCAGCAGUUCAACAGGUCUAAUAACCAACAGGUCAACAGGUCGAAUGGUUUAACACACCACAGUACUACAGGUUUAACACACCACAGUACUACCUAACACACCACAGUACUACCUAACACACCACAGUACUACAGGUUUAACACACCACAGUACUACCUAACACACCACAGUACUACAGGUUUAACACACCACAGUACUACCUAACACACUACAGUACUACCUAACACACCACAGUACUACAGGUUUAACACACCACAGUACUACAUAACACACCACAGUACUACAGGUUUAACACACCACAGUACUACUUAACACACCACAGUACUACAGGUUUAACACACCACAGUACUACCUAACACACCACAGUACUACCUAACACACCACAGUACUACCUAACACACCAC
ensembl:lncRNA